ACGUAGGGGCCAAACGUUGUCCGGAUUUAUUGGGCGUAAAGGGCUCGUAGGCGGUUCAACAAGUCGGUCGUGAAAGCCCGGGGCUCAACCCCGGGACGCCGGUCGAAACUGUUGUGACUAGGGUCCGGUAGAGGUGAGUGGAAUUCUCGGUGUAGCGGUGGAAUGCGCAGAUAUCGAGAGGAACACCAGUAGCGAAGGCGGCUCACUGGGCCGGUACCGACGCUGAGGAGCGAAAGCAUGGGGAGCAAACAGG
rnacentral:rRNA from 1 species